AUGCCCAGGGCUCAGUUGCCUGAGGACAGCAGUGCAGUUGACAUGGAUAUUCUCUUUCCUCUGGACAGUGUUAUCGGUACAGAGCUGUGCCCCAGCCCCAUUCCCCAGAUCAUCCAUUUCGUCCUCUUUGUUGUGUUCAGCCUGGUGAUCCUGAUUAUCUUACGCCUCUACAUUCCCAGGGAGCCAUCCUCAGUGCCUCCCAGAGAGGAGGACAGCGAGAAUGAUCAAGCUGAAGUGGGGGAAUGGCUCAGGAUCGGAAAUAAAUAUAUCACUUUGAAAGAUUACAGAAUUCUCUUGAAAGAACUGGAGAACCUUGAGAUCUACACUUUCCUGUCGAAAAAGUGCCUGAAGAAGCUCUCUAGGGAGGGCAGCUCCCAUCACCUUCCACGCCAAGUCCGCCCAGGGCCAGUGUACAAACCAGCACCUGCUAGGAACCACCGGCCACGUGGGGGGCGUGGGAAAGCUUCUCCCACCAGCUUCCAUGUGUCCCCACGGGCUCCCCUGGCUCCUCUGGCCUCCAUGCCGUCAUCAGUCCCGAAGACCUCCGUAGAGUCCUUGGGGUCUCCAUCAUCCCUGAGCUCCUCCAAGCCACGAGAGCCUCUGUGUCCCCUGAAGCACCCUUCACACCAGCCACCUGCGAGCACCCUAUCACCAAACCCGACCAGCUCCACAGAAUCCUUGGGGUAUCUGUCAUCCCUGAGCUCCUCCCAGCCACCAGAGCCUUUGCGUCCCCUGAAGCACCCUUCACACAAGCCACGUGGGCGUUCCCUUCCCCGACGACGGAAUCCUGGCUGGGUGUCCUGGUCCGACUCCAUGCAGGCUGAUUCCGAAACUGACACCAUAAUAUGCCCAAUGUGCAAGGCCCCUGAGCGCUCCUGUCCACACACCUGGUGGGUGCCUUCUAGCCCUCGAGUGAUCCGAGGCGUUGGUCGCUGCAGUGAUCCCAACCUGGGCCUCUCCUGGAGGCAGGAGGCUGCUAGAGCCUGGUGCCACUGCACCUCCUCACAGUUCCCAUUCAAGCACCCUAAUCUUCCCACCCACCUACCAAAGGCUUCCUUCUAGGGAGACCCCACAUGCAGGCAGGUGGAGGCAGGGGUCCCGCUUUCCUCAGCCUGGAUGUGCCAACGCUGCUGGACGCAUAAGACACCAAAAUCCCAGACACUCCCAUGGACACCGAAUAUCCGACAUCCACGAACAAUUGGGAAUCUCCUGAGGACAACUUGGAGAUGGAGUCUCACUCUGUUGCUCAGGCUGGAGUGCAGUGGCACCAUCUUGGCUCACCACAACCUCCGCCUCCCGGAUUCAAGCCAUUCUCCUGCCUCAGCCUCCCGAGUAACUGGGAUUACAGGCUUGUGCCACCGCACCCAGCUAAUUUUUGUAAUUUUAGUCGAGAGAAGGUGUCACCAUGUUAGCCAGGCUUGUCUUGAACUCCUGACCUUGAGAUAUCUGCCCACCUCAGCCUCUCAAAGUGCUGGGAUUAUAGGCUUGAGCCACCACGGCUGGAUGAAUCAUAAAUUGUAAACCUGAAUAAAAUGCUGCAACCUCCAA
ensembl:lncRNA novel transcript